GGCUCGUGUGGAACAAACCUAAACCAUGGAGUUGUUGUGGUCGGGUAUGGAACUGAGAAUGGUCGUGACUACUGGCUCGUGAAAAACUCUAGGGGCAUUACAUGGGGAGAAGCUGGCU
rnacentral:sRNA from 1 species